rnacentral:rRNA from 1 species
AUUGAACGCUGGCGGCAGGCCUAACACAUGCAAGUCGAACGGUAACAGGAAGCAGCUUGCUGCUUUGCUGACGAGUGGCGGACGGGUGAGUAAUGUCUGGGAAACUGCCCGAUGGAGGGGGAUAACUACUGGAAACGGUAGCUAAUACCGCAUAACGUCGCAAGACCAAAGAGGGGGACCUUAGGGCCUCUUGCCAUCGGAUGUGCCCAGAUGGGAUUAGCUAGUAGGUGGGGUAACGGCUCACCUAGGCGACGAUCCCUAGCUGGUCUGAGAGGAUGACCAGCCACACUGGAACUGAGACACGGUCCAGACUCCUACGGGAGGCAGCAGUAGGGAAUAUUGCACAAUGGGCGAAAGCCUGAUGCAGCCACGCCGCGUGUAUGAAGAAGGCCUUCGGGUCGUAAAGUACUUUCAGCGGGGAGGAAGGAAGUAAAGUUAAUACCUGUGCUCAUUGACGUUACCCGAAGAAGAAGCACCGGCUAACUACGUG